UCCCUGUUGGCUCAGCUGGUAAAGAAUCUGCCUGCAAUGCAGGAGACUUGGGUUCGAUCCCUGGGUUGGGAA
rnacentral:tRNA from 1 species